GCUGGGCGUGGUGGCGGGCGCCUGUAAUCCCAGCUACUCGGGAGGCUGAGGCAGGAGAAUCACUUGAACCCAGGAGGCUGAGGUUGCAGUGAGCUGAGAUCGCACCACUGCACUCCAGCCUGGGCAACAGAGUGAGACUCGGUCUCAA
rnacentral:SRP_RNA from 1 species